rfam:Ailuropoda melanoleuca scaffold420_58, whole genome shotgun sequence.
GCCUGGCUGGCUUAGUUGGUAGAGCAUGAGACUCUUGAUCACAGGGUCUUGAGUUCAAGCCUCACACUGGGCA